ACUAGGGUUUUUUACUUGGAAAAGACAAUGUUCCAUACUAAAGGAUUCGGGUCCAAAAAACCAUCCUCAGUUCGGAUUGCAGGCUGCAAGUUGCCUGCAUGAAGCAGGAAUCGCUAGUAAUCGCCGGUCAGCCAUACGGCGGUGAAUCCGUUCC
rnacentral:rRNA from 1 species